rnacentral:tRNA from 1 species
UCCUCGGUGGCUCAGAUGGACAGAGCGUCUGCCAUGUAAGCAGGAUAUCCCGGGUUCGAAUCCCGGUCGGGGCA